rnacentral:rRNA from 1 species
UACGGGGGGAGCAAGCGUUGUUCGGAUUUACUGGGCGUAAAGGGCGCGUAGGCGGCCAGCACAAGUCAGUUGUGAAAUCUCCGAGCUUAACUCGGAAAGGUCAACUGAUACUGUGCGGCUAGAGUGCGGAAGGGGCAACUGGAAUUCUUGGUGUAGCGGUGAAAUGCGUAGAUAUCAAGAGGAACACCUGCGGCGAAGGCGGGUUGCUGGGCCGACACUGACGCUGAGGCGCGAAAGCUAGGGGAGCGAACGGGG